rnacentral:lncRNA from 1 species
UUGAAGGCUACCUAUUGCAAUGCGUUCAAGCUUGAUAUCCCUAGUACGCAAUCUUUAGCAAUCUCAAGACUUUAGUUGAUGCGUGUUGUGUGUGUGUGUUUUUUUUAAUAAAGUUCGACUUUAGAGUUUGAGUUCGAACCCAUGCCUUUAAUAAUGUUCUUAGUAGUUACCAACUUAGCCACCUUUCUAGGAUGAUGUGUGUUGUGUUUUUUUAUUGGACGAUUAAACUUUUCUCAAAAUGAACAUUUUUUUUUAAUUUAAUUUUUAUUGAAUUUUCAUUGAAUAUUUGCUAAAUUAAUUUUUUUUUGUUACAAAAGCGGCCUAAGCUCGCUAAAUUGAAUUUUAUACGC